rnacentral:rRNA from 8 species
UUUCCGUAGGUGAACCUGCGGAAGGAUCAUAG